GGAGGGUGUAGCUCAGGGGUAGAGCAUGUGCUUAGCAUGCACGAGGUCCUGGGUUCAAUCCCCAGUACCUCCA
rnacentral:tRNA from 1 species